rnacentral:rRNA from 1 species
AGGAUAGAGGCCUACCAUGGUUUCAACGGGUAACGGGGAAUUAGGGUUCGAUUCCGGAGAGGGAGCCUGAGAAACGGCUACCACAUCCAAGGAAGGCAGCAGGCGCGCAAAUUACCCAAUCCCGACACGGGGAGGUAGUGACAAUAAAUACUGAUACAGGGCUCUUUUGGGUCUUGUAAUUGGAAUGAGUACAAUUUAAAUCUCUUAACGAGGAACAAUUGGAGGGCAAGUCUGGUGCCAGCAGCCGCGGUAAUUCCAGCUCCAAUAGCGUAUAUUAAAGUUGUUGCAGUUAAAAAGCUCGUAGUUGAAUUUCGGAAUCAAUAUGUUGGUCGUGCCUUGGUACGUACUGGCAUUAUUGGUUUCUACCUUCUGAAGAACCUCGAUGUCAUUAAUUUGGUGUCUUGGGGAAUCAGGACUGUUACUUUGAAAAAAUUAGAGUGUUUAAAGCAGGCUCACGCUUGAAUACAUUAGCAUGGAAUAAUGAAAUAGGACGUUUGAUUCUAUUUUGUUGGUUUCUAGGAUCGACGUAAUGAUUAAUAGGGAUAGUUGGGGGCAUUAGUAUUCAAUUGUCAGAGGUGAAAUUCUUGGAUUUAUUGAAGACUAACUACUGCGAAAGCAUUUGCCAAGGAUGUUUUCAUUAAUCAAGAACGAAAGUUAGGGGAUCGAAGACGAUCAGAUACCGUCGUAGUCUUAACCAUAAACUAUGCCGACUAGGGAUCGGAUGAUGUUAAUUUUUUAAUGACUCAUUCGGCGCCUUACGGGAAACCAAAGUGUUUGGGUUC